AGACGCAAAACAAAUUUGUGUAAUGAAAAUAGUUGAAGUCAACCAAACUCCCCACCUAUGCACUUUCGCCGACAGAGACAUUGCAAUUGGCGAGGAACUCCGAUAUGAUUAUGGAGUACCAACACUUCCAUGGAGAAAGGCAACACAAUGGCUACUAGAUCUACGGACAGCCAGGAACCAGGACAAACAACAUCCAUACACACGGAAGAAGUCAAUUAGACGGCAACACAAUGACUACUAUAUCUACGGACAGCCAGGAACCAGGACAAACAACAUCCGUACACACGAAAGAAGUCGAUGAGACGAAAAGGGUACUUCAAAUACCAGGAGAACAAAACAAACAGCCAAAAAGCAAUUGAGUGAAAACGAAAAAGGAGCUGUUCACAGACACUUAGAUCGUUUUUUGAUAAUGGGUAAAUUACCAGGGAAAAAAGAAAUACUUGCAUGUUUUGAAAGUGAGAAUGACCUUCACAACAGAAGUUGGAAAAAUGUCAAAGACUCUUGCAGAAAUUUAAUUGAAACAAAAAAGCGACGGGGACUUUUAACUUAAAAAAAAUAUUACACAUAUAAUGCACGUUUAGGAGAAUACGUUAAAGGAUGAAGUUGUCACAUGUGUUUUGUGUGUUUUCUUGUUCUAUAUACUCUUUUCGAAAACGAUAUAUGUGUGCUUAUUGUAUUUGAAUGUUUUAUUAAUACGGUUCAGUCAAAAACGAUAUUUGUUCAUAAUCAUAUCGCCGAACAAAUUAGGAUUGGUAUAUAGUUCGGCCAAAGAGUGUUUCUUUGUACUUUCUAUUACGAGUUUCUACGAGUUACUCACUUUACAAGUUAUCUUUUACCCUAAACUUGGUGAAUAUGAAUGAAUAUAGCAAACAUGAUAAAAAAUCAAUCUAGAAGGCUAAACGUUCAGAGAAGGCACAAAAAAAUUCAGUCGGAUAAAUUGAAACAAACAUUUUGUUCAAGCAUAACAAACAAACACUUUUAGAUGUAAUAAGAUAAAUGUAAAUAACAUAAAAAACUACUGCUAAACUACUGCUACAAUAUGAAGAAUACAAAUGAAUAUUUUGUCAAUUUUACAAAAUUUGUUUUGAAUGACAGGUGUCUGACUUGCAGUUGAGUACUUAAUAGUUAUUUUAAUGUAAACAUUUACCAAAAUGUAAAUUAUUGCGUAAAUAUCGCACUAGAAUUGAUUAAAUAGUUGUUAAAUAUUACAAUAAUUUCCUACACAGAUUUUUGUUCAUUUGUUUUGCGUGUAGAUAUUCACAUUAGCUAUCAAUUCACAUAUUUGCUUUGUGUAUAUAAUUGGUAUGUUUAUAUGUUUUUCAUAUCAAAAUUGCUUGAUCUACAAAAAUUCGCGAGGAGUUAUGCAUUUUUUCCCAUGUUUUUAAUUGAAGUUUAUAAUUCAACGACGAUGAAAAAUACUAAGAUGCCAGAUUGAGUUAUGUUUUUGUCUCAUUUAUGGUUAAAGAUCAAUUAACAUACCCAUUUCCCAGACUAAGAUAUUGUUAAAACAAUUUAUCGCGUUUGCGACUGACCUCUUUUAUGCAUUCUAACACAAGCUAUUUACUUGUUUUUUUGAAUACUCUUCAUAUACACACACUUGAACAAGCUGUAGAUUACCUAGAACAAAACAUAUUUGAAACAUAUAUGUAUAUGUGAUAUGUAAAUGCAUGCACAAAGCUAAUAAUUAAUCAUGUUUAUACACUUUGCGAUAUGAUGCUAUAAUGUCGGUUGUUUUAAGUGAUUAAUCAUUAUGUUAACCUUGUUAUAUGCCAUCUUGAAUGUAAUUAAGUGUUUUGACAUGUAUGCGAAAUUGAUCUUGUUCGAGUUGGUGCUGUAUAUUCAGAAUUUAGUCACACUGUUAUAAUUUUCCUGUUGGUACAUAUUAUUUUCAAGUUGGCACCAACAAGGGUCUAACAAUUGAUCCACAUGUGCACUCCCAGUAAGUAUAUAUACUAUAAUGUAAGUGAUUUAAAAUAAUAUUAAACUACGUGUUUGAUAAGUGUU